UCUAGCUCCAACUUGGGGUUAGUAACUAUGGAAAAUCACUGGGGCCCUCAGUUAAAUGCCAUUGUGUACAAACUCAGAGGAGCGGUGGAGUGGCCCCAGAAUCCAUCUGAGAGUCUGAAGGGUUAAUUGCAGCAACGUGGGCUUCUGGAGCUGAAUUUGAGGCUCCAAUCUGACAUCUGUCAAGGCAUUUUCCCAGCUUGUUCAAUACAUCAGAUCAGUCACUGAAAAAAGAAUGAUUAUGAAACUGGUAUUCGGACACACGUAAAUCUUCCAAGAGUCUCCUUUACAAGAGAAAAUUGACACAAUGGAUCCUCUGAAAUACAGAGCUAUUGAGGUUGGAGAAGAGACUGAGUGUU